rnacentral:rRNA from 1 species
AGCAGCCGCGGUAAUUCCAGCUCCAAUAGCGUAUAUUAAAGUUGUUGCAGUUAAAAAGCUCGUAGUUGAAUUUCGGGAUUGGCGCAUCGGUCGUGCCUCACGGGGUAUGAACUGGUGCAGUCAAUUUCUCACCUUCUGGAGAACCGCGAUGUCCUUAAUUGGAUGCCGCGGGGAACCAGGACCUUUACUUUGAAAAAAUUAGAGUGUUUAAAGCAGGCAUUUUUGCUUGAAUACAUUAGCAUGGAAUAAUAAAAUAGGACGGCAUGGUUCUAUUUUGUUGAUUUCUAGGACCACCGUAAUGAUUAAUAGGGAUAGUUGGGGGCAUUAGUAUUCAAUUGUCAGAGGUGAAAUUCUUGGAUUUAUUGAAGACUAACUACUGCGAAAGCAUUUGCCAAGGAUGUUUUCAUUAAUCAAGAACGAAAGUUAGGGGAUCGAAGACGAUCAGAUACCGUCGUAGUCUUAACCAUAAACUAUGCCGACUAGGAAUCAGACGAUGUUAAUUUUUUAAUGACUCGUUUGG